GAUGAACGCUGGCGGCGUGCCUAAUACAUGCCAGUCGAGCGAACGGACGAGAAGCUUGCUUCUCUGAUGUUAGCGGCGGACGGGUGAGUAACACGUGGAUAACCUACCUAUAAGACUGGGAUAACUUCGGGAAACCGGAGCUAAUACCGGAUAAUAUUUUGAACCGCAUGGUUCAAAAGUGAAAGACGGUCUUGCUGUCACUUAUAGAUGGAUCCGCGCUGCAUUAGCUAGUUGGUAAGGUAACGGCUUACCAAGGCAACGAUGCAUAGCCGACCUGAGAGGGUGAUCGGCCACCACGGAACUGAGACACGGUCCAGACUCCUACGGGAGGCAGCAGUAGGGAAUCUUCCGCAAUGGGCGAAAGCCUGACGGAGCAACGCCGCGUGAGUGAUGAAGGUCUUCGGAUCGUAAAACUCUGUUAUUAGGGAAGAACAUAUGUGUAAGUAACUGUGCACAUCUUGACGGUACCUAAUCAGAAAGCCACGGCUAACUACGUG
rnacentral:rRNA from 1 species